GACGAACGCUGGCGGCGUGCCUAACACAUGCAAGUCGAACGGAAAGGCCCUGCUUUUGUGGGGUGCUCGAGUGGCGAACGGGUGAGUAACACGUGAGUAACCUGCCCUUGACUUUGGGAUAACUUCAGGAAACUGGGGCUAAUACCGGAUAGGAGCUCCUGCUGCAUGGUGGGCGUUGGAAAGUUUCGGCGGUUGGGGAUGGACUCGCGGCUUAUCAGCUUGUUGGUGGGGUAGUGGCUUACCAAGGCUUUGACGGGUAGCCGGCCUGGGAGGGUGACCGGCCACAUUGGGACUACGGUACGGCCCAGACUCCUACGGGGGACAACGGUGGGGAGUAUUGCACAGUGAGCGGGAGCCUGAUGCGGCGGCGCCGCGUGCGUGAUGACGGCCUUCGGGUUGUAAACCGCUUUCGCCUGUGACGAAGCGUGAGUGACGGUAAUGGGUAAAGAAGCACCGGCUAACUACGUG
rnacentral:rRNA from 1 species